UAUUGGACUGAACAAAGGGGGGCAAACAC
rnacentral:piRNA from 1 species